GACGAACGCUGGCGGCGUGCUUAACACAUGCAAGUCGAACGGAAAGGCCCUGCUUUUGUGGGGUGCUCGAGUGGCGAACGGGUGAGUAACACGUGAGUAACCUGCCCUUGACUUUGGGAUAACUUCAGGAAACUGGGGCUAAUACCGGAUAGGAGCUCCUGCUGCAUGGUGGGGGUUGGAAAGUUUCGGCGGUGGGGGAUGGACUCGCGGCUUAUCAGCUUGUUGGUGGGGUAGUGGCUUACCAAGGCUUUGACGGGUAGCCGGCCUGAGAGGGUGACCGGCCACAUUGGGACUGAGAUACGGAGCAGACUCCUACGGGAGGCAGCAGUGGGGAGUAUUGCACAAUGGGCGGAAGCCUGAUGCAGCAACGCCGCGUGCGGGAUGACGGCCUUCGGGUUGUAAACCGCUUUCGCCUGUGACGAAGCGUGAGUGACGGUAAUGGGUAAAGAAGCACCGGCUAACUACGUG
rnacentral:rRNA from 1 species